UACGUAGGGUGCGAACGUUGUCCGGAUUUAUUGGGCGUAAAGAGCUCGUAGGCGGUUUGUCGCGUCGGCCGUGAAAUCUCCACGCUUAACGUGGAGUGUGCGGUCGAUACGGGCAGACUUGAGUUCGGUAGGGGAGACUGGAAUUCCUGGUGUAGCGGUGAAAUGCGCAGAUAUCAGGAGGAACACCGGUGGCGAAGGCGGGUCUCUGGGCCGAUACUGACGCUGAGGAGCGAAAGCGUGGGGAGCGAACAGG
rnacentral:rRNA from 1 species